CAGUACACUAUCUCUCAAGACAUUGCGAUCUGACCAGUGGAAAAACAGGAUGUGGUUAACUUUAUGGCUGUAAACGAUACUGACAUCUGUAGUGGUUAAAUAACUGCCUGCAUAUUGCCACGUAGAUAAUGCUGUUGUACUAUGUAUGUACGUGAUGUUAUACAAUAGUUAAAGGUCAUAGGCUGUUUAUGGAGAGAAAAUAAUCCACGCCUCCAAGCGGAGGUAAAAUAAAAGCGGAGACGAGAAUUACGAGGGGGGCUCCGAAAUUGAACUCUGGUCUCACCGUGUCUCACUGUGUCGUGAUAUCUACAUCUGGUGACCUCGACGUGAUUCAGAACAAACACCCUCGUACCCACUGGCAGGAUCAGCCAACGGUGCACCUCAGCGUACAGCUCCCAUUCGUAGCUGCAGUACUGGCAGAAGUGACCAGGGAGAAACCGGUUCCGGCAUUUUCAGCAGUCGGAGUCUCUACCUGCCCCGCGGGUGCAGUUUCGGCAACUACCAAAUCCAGAGUGGAAAGGCCCAGUUCCGCUUAUAACGUGGGGUCGAGGUUACGCGGCUGUGUCUACGCCUGACGGUCCUGUGUGGGUACCUGCUAGGUGUAUCCGGCCCUGGAAAGACGAUGUCCUGGCACGAUAAUCUUAAGAAUCCCAUCCCUAAUUUUUCUCUGCAACUUCAGGAUACUGGGAUGUCUUCCAGGAAGCGUGGUCGGAAUGUUCCGCAACCUCCCGUGACUUGGGGCCAAAUAAAGAACUUAGCAACACAAGCAGAAAAAGCAAUGGAACAAGCCGGGGUGGACAAGACAACUGAGAAUACCAUUCUUGCUUUAAUUGCGUCUUUAAAUACAAAUUCUAUUUUUGUACUUUGCAUUUGUUGGAUUUUAGGAAGCGCCGGGGCUGACAGGUUGGGGCAGGAGUUGGGGAUGCGGUUUCAACACAAUAUCUGGGUUCAGUUAGCAAGAAUGACAAAUGUGAGUGACUUUUGCAUGACUGAACAUGUACAGGAAAUGGGUAUGUUGGGAACAUGUUUAAUACCCGUAUGCAAAGCACCUGGGGAUAUUGGGAACAUUACAGGACUUGGGCGGUUCAUGAAUACUUCAGAGAUUAAAUAUCAUACUGUUUCGAAUUGGGGAACUCCAACCUUCCAGCUGCCUGUUAAUGCUUUUCAAUUAUUUACAUCACAUGUUGCAAAUUCCAUUAAUAAUACGUGUGCUCGGAUGGUUAAUUGUAGUCGACAUAAGGUGCAGAAGGGAUGUCUAAAGGUUGGGAGACCCACAUGGAAUUGUACACAGCACAUUAACAUAUCCAGUAUGUACGGACACAUUCCUUUACCAGGUGGAUGGUUUUGGA